rnacentral:tRNA from 1 species
UGCGGUGUGGUGUAACUGGUAACACACAUCACUUUGGAUGAUGCAUUUCAGGUUCGAAUCCUGACAUCGCAA